CAGUCGCCACGGUAAAACGAAGGGGGCUAGCGUUGUUCGGAUUUACUGGGCGUAAAGCGCACGUAGGCGGACUUUUAAGUCAGGGGUGAAAUCCCGGGGCUCAACCCCGGAACUGCCUUUGAUACUGGGAGUCUUGAGUUCGAGAGAGGUGAGUGGAAUUGCGAGUGCAGAGGUGAAAUUCGUAGAUAUUCGCAGGAACACCAGUGGCGAAGGCGGCUCACUGGCUCGAUACUGACGCUGAGGUGCGAAAGCGUGGGGAGCAAACAGGAUUAGAUACCCCCGUAGUCCCUGUCUCUUAUAC
rnacentral:rRNA from 1 species